GGAGAAUGUGGAGUUGGAAAAAUCCCAAGAGAUUCAUCAACCAUGCCAUGAAUUCCGACAUCAGCGUGCUCGUAACCCAAAUCCAGUCCCUUGUCGUGCUGAAUAUAUGGGCCGUAAACUUUAUCUUGAUGAAAAUGAGAGGCUUGGAUGUUUGAAGCGACACACAUUGUGGCAGUUGAUGGCUAAGCAGCAAAUUGUUGCCAAAGACACCAUGCCAGCGAAGAACAACCUUGUGGUUUAUGAGGAAGUUUACAGAGCUGCAGUGGUCAACCAUGGGACGUGGGACCAACGUAGGGUCGACCCUGGCAGGGAAUUUUACAUGUGCCUGUACAUGAGAGAGGCUGUCAAGGCACAGACAUAACCUCACCUGGCCACCGUACCUCCAAACAACAUCAACAAGGCUGAGACUCUUUGAGUGGAAAGGAUUUGGGCCAAGGUAAACAAUCGAGUGAACUACCCAUUGAAACAGGCCCCUGUUACCCCUGCUGGAUUAAGAAGUCGUUCAUCAACAUGGAGGACAAUAUAACUAAAUUCUGCAUCUCAAACCUGACACGUCAGUUAAGCCAAAUUGGUCUUGGCGGAGUAAUGCAACCAUGGAUGCACACAGGAUCCCAGGCUGUGGGAUACCCACUGAACUCGCAGCAGGAGGCUGUCCAGCUAACAUUUCUGAGGAGCUGCUGUCCAGUGUCUCUGUUGCGGUGAACAUGUAUGAGCAAGAGGUGGGAUCCUCGCUGACUUGGGUGUCAGUUUUUGGAACUGACCCCUUUUCAUCUGAGGGGUAUACAGUGCCUUGCAAAAGUAUUCAAUCCCCUUGACAGUCAUCACACUAAUUUCUGGAUUAUUAAAGAUACUCACACGUCUGUUC